CUUUGUAUUCUUCCACAGCUUUCUUGAACUGCAUCUAAGAGUUCCUUUGCAUGCAUGUAAUGUACUCUCCAACUCUGCGGUUCAAUAAAGCUGUGGGAAGAUACAGAAA
rfam:Lupinus angustifolius cultivar Tanjil contig_11342, whole genome shotgun sequence.